ensembl:lncRNA
AGUUGUGCAACCCACAGGGGCCCUGUCUGUCUGUUGUGCACCCCACAGGACCUCUGUCUGUCCGUCCAGCUCUUUCCUCUUUCUUUUGCUCCCUCUGAUUCAACCACGUCUCAUCUCUUCCAGGCAUUCGCUUUAUUCCAGGACCCGUCAGUGCAGAAUUAGCCCAGCUUUGGCGGUUAUUUCGGCGGUGGGACAUGCCGUGUGGCUGCCGUGCCGGGAGCGUGUGGGUGCAUGAUUGGGGGGGGGGGGUUAUAAAAGCAGGGGCUGGAUGAGAAACCUUACGUCUCUGAUGGGAGCAACUGGGGAUAAAGCCAGGAUGGUGCCGGCACCCACCACCGCCGGGGACGGCACUGGUGCCUCGGCACGUGCUGCGGCUGCUGUGUGCCAUCUCGGGCUGUUUCCCAAGCUCGGAGAGCCUGGGCCGGCCCGGCAAGGCAGCGUUGUGGCUGCUCCGGACACUGUCUCGGAGCAAAGCGCCCCUGCUCAGGGUGCGGGAGAUCCCCCGCGAUGCCGCAGAUGGGAGCUGCCUGGAAAUGCGGCUGCAGCUGGGCGCAACGGGCAGCAGCAACGGCACGGGCUCAGCGCCGCGGCAUGGGGCCGGACUUCGGGACCGCGGUGCGAUUCCCAGAAAGCGAGCGGAGGAGCCUGUUUACUCAGGAGCUGUGAGAAAGGCCGUGCGUGUCUGUCCGGGCCGCUAUCUGCCCCCCUGGGCUGUGCGAAAGGGCUUCGCGGCAGUGCCGGGCCAGCCAGCAGCCUUAUCAGCCCCAAACUUUUAUUUGCCUAAGGGCCGCACACCCUCCGCCGGGGGGGGCUCGUGCCAGCGGCUCCGCGGCCGCCUCCGCUCCCCGGCGACCCCGGGAAGCUCCCGCGGCGCAGAUGAGCUCCGCGCUGUUGUUGUUGGCGUGCGGCGGCGGCAGGUCCCAGCUGCGCCAGCCCCGGCGGUGGAGGGGGGGGGGGGUCACGCCGGGCGCCCCGAGCCGCCUUGUCACAACACGGGAACAAUAGCGGCACGCGGAGCCCCGUUAUCGCAGCCCCGUGCGGCGGCCGCCGCUGCCGGCCGCAGCCUCCCGGCACGGGGGGGGCUCUCGGCCGUCUUGUUUUCCACCUUGCAGGGCCGUUCGGAAAAGCGUGACGCUCCCCCGGCGCCAACAAAAAUAUCAGCCCGGGGCCGGAGAGGAGAGCAAACAAAGUGCUGCCCGGUGGGUAAACAGGCCRCGGGGCCGGCGGCGGCGGCUGCACCGUUACCUUUCGCACUGGCAUUUCCUCCCGGCCGCGCGGCGCUGCUGGGCUUGCAGCUUUGCUCGGGCUCRGGUUCCCCCGUCCUCCCCGUGUCCGAGGCCGCGGAGCCGGGAUGGCUUGGCAGCAGGGCUCCCCGGGGCUCAGCUCAUGCCCCUGCGGGAAAAGGGGUCCCGUGGGGCAGCACGGGGGAGCAGGGCAGGGUUAACCCCCAGAGGGGUCUGCCCCGAUCGUGCAGGAUCCCCGCUGCUCUCCUGCACCCGUGUGGCACGGCCCGGCACGGCUCCCAGACCCCCGCGAGGAGGGGAGCCAAGGGCUGGGGCCGCCGUGCCCGCUGCCUGCCUUGGAUGCUGCCCCGCACGYGGGCGCCUCCCUCCCCGUUUCCUUUGGCAGGCGAUGGCAGCGAUACGGCUCCCCGUCACCCACGUUUCAGCAACGCGGAGGUAUUUUUAGUGUGUCACACCCUCGUCCGAGCAGCCCUCGUCCGAGGCAGCAGGCUCUGCCCUGGGCUCGUUUGGCCGGAGAAACUAAACAACAGCCCGAACCCAUA